AUGGCGUCCAGCGCUUCCCGGUUCAUCAAGUGCGUCACGGUGGGCGACGGCGCCGUCGGCAAGACCUGCAUGCUCAUCUGCUACACCAGCAACAAGUUCCCCACCGACUACAUACCCACGGUGUUCGACAAUUUCAGCUCAAACGUGGUGGCGGACGGCACCACCGUGAAUUUGGGCCUUUGGGACACCGCCGGGCAGGAGGAUUACAACCGGCUGAGGCCUCUGAGCUACCGCGGCGCUGAUGUUUUUGUGCUUGCCUUCUCUCUCGUGAGCCGAGCUAGCUAUGAGAAUAUCAUGAAGAAGUGGAUACCGGAGCUUCAGCAUUACGCGCCCGGCGUGCCGGUUGUGCUGGUAGGCACAAAACUGGAUCUUCGUGAAGACAAGCACUAUUUGCUGGACCACCCUGGCAUGAUACCCGUUACCACAGCACAGGGGGAGGAACUUCGUAAGCAAGUUGGUGCUUUAUAUUACAUAGAGUGCAGCUCAAAGACACAACAGAAUGUCAAAGCUGUGUUUGAUGCUGCUAUCAAGGUAGUAAUCCAGCCCCCAACUAAACAAAGAGAAAAGAAGAAAAAGAAACAGCGCCGGGGAUGUUCUAUGAUGAACUUCGGUGGAAGGAAAAUGCUAUGCUUCAAAUCCUGA
rnacentral:rRNA from 1 species